GCGUGGUCCGGAGGAAGUUCUCGAGGGCCAGGAGGUCCACUUCCGGUCAUCAGGUCUAGUGAAUUCUUCCUCUGCUGUGCCGAGUGUGCUGGCCUGAAACCAAGGGUGUCUUUCAUUCCCAACCUCCGGGCUGAUUCUGGGCACAGGAAACAGCGGCCUGCGAUCAGUUUUCAUCUUGGAAGCUACAGCAUUUCUGAGUUGGCAGGAGAUUCUGUUUCCAGUUAACACCGCAGCAAAUUUGGCAAUGAGAGUAACACUUCUGGAAGUUCCUGAAUCGCGUGAGUAAGACGUUCUGUGGACACACAAUAG